rnacentral:rRNA from 1 species
CGCUACUCUUGGACAGCCUUCUGAAAGGAAGAUUAAUACAAGAUGGCAUCAUGAGUCCGCAUGUUCACAUGAUUAAAGGUAUUCCGGUAGACGAUGGGGAUGCGUUCCAUUAGAUAGUAGGCGGGGUAACGGCCCACCUAGUCUUCGAUGGAUAGGGGUUCUGAGAGGAAGGUCCCCCACAUUGGAACUGAGACACGGUCCAA